AUUGAACGCUGGCGGCAUGCUUUACACAUGCAAGUCGAACGGCAGCACGGGGGCAACCCUGGUGGCGAGUGGCGAACGGGUGAGUAACACAUCGGAACGUGCCCAGUUGUGGGGGAUAACCUAUCGAAAGGUAGGCUAAUACCGCAUGAGCUCGGCAAGAGGAAAGCGGGGGACUCAGCGAUGGGCCUCGCGCGACUGGAGCGGCCGAUGUCCGAUUAGCUAGUUGGUGGGGUAAAGGCUUACCAAGGCGACGAUCGGUAGCUGGUCUGAGAGGAUGAUCAGCCACACUGGGACUGAGACACGGCCCAGACUCCUACGGGAGGCAGCAGUGGGGAAUUUUGGACAAUGGGGCAACCCUGAUCCAGCCAUGCCGCGUGAGUGAAGAAGGCCUGG
rnacentral:rRNA from 1 species